UUGUCUUGGCCUUUUUCUGCUCCUCUGUACUUAGUUCUAACAGGGCAAAGGAAAAACAAAGUGAAACCUGGACAAG
rnacentral:scRNA from 1 species